CCUGGCAGCUCGAACAGUGAAAGAACGGCGCUGAGUGGUGGUGGCAGUGGUGGUGGGGGUUAAAAGGAAGGUGGUGGAGGGUUUACUGAGAAAGGAGGAGGAGAGGUUAGAGGGAUGUUUUCUGGUACGGGGAGAAGGGGUGCAGAGAGCGAGAGUGGUUGAGGAAGAAGGAGAAGAAGGAGGAGGAGAUGGGUAUAUGAGCUUUGUGGAAGCAGAAGCUGAAGUUGCUGAAAUUGCCAUUGAAGGAGGCUAGAAUUUAGAGAGAGCGAGAGAGAGAGAGGGAGGUGGGUGUAGGAGUGGGUGGUGAAGGAGGACUGGAGGAGGGAGGAGUGGGGAGUGGGGAUUUUGUUAUCUGCAGCUGUGUGGGAAGACCAAAGAUGGCCUCAUACGCCCCUCCUAUCCGUUUCUGCUUCACAUGUUCUCUCGCCACUCCUACUCACCCUACUUCUCUGCUACCCUUCUCUUCUCUUUACACGUGGAUUUCGUAUUUUCAUAUAUUCCCUGAAAUAUAAGUAUAAAAUGGAAAACUUAAAAUAUUGUUUUCCUGAAAAAUAUUUUUUUUUAAAAAAAAAUUUUGGCAGAUUUUCUUUAUCAUAAAAAUUUGGAAUCAAAUAUAGUUUUAAUUUUAAAACUUUAGAUAUUUUAAAAUUAUUUAAUUUUUACAUAAAAGAAGAGAAUAAGUGAAAUAUAUUAACUUUAAACUUAUUAUUUUUUUAUGAAUUAAUCGGUUAAAAUGGAUAAAAGAAUUCCCCUAUUUGUAAAUCUAAGACCCAUUUGGCCAUGUUUUUUUAAAUUUAUUUUUAAAAAUUGUUUAUUAUUUUUUUAACUUAAAAAUAAUUUUUAAAAAUAAGUUUUAAAAAAUAUGUUUAGACGGGUUGAUAUUUUUCUUUUAUUUUAAUAAAUAGAUGAAAAUAAUUUUUACUUAUUCUUUGUUUACUUUGUUUUUAAAGAAUAAUGACCAAACAGUUUUAAAAAAAAUUAAAAACAAUUUUUUGUUUUAUUUUUAAAUCACGCCAUCAAAUUGAGUCUAGUUCUUUAAUGUUUUGCUUGAAAAAUAAUUAAAAGAAAAUGUUAUUUUUAUGAGAUAACAACAAAGAUAUUUUUAUUAAAUUUUUCAAAAAAUGGAAAGUUGGAAUUUUAAAUUUGGAUUUUGAAUCUUUUAAUCAAAUAACCCAUUUUUUUAUUCCCUCAUUUUUUUUCCCUAUUUUCUUUUUGUUAUAUUUUUCUCAAAUUAAAAAAAAAAAAAUCAAAUAUAAGAUUUGUGUUUUAACAAAAUCCUAAGAUAUCUAUUAAUUUUCACUAAUUAAGAGUAAAAGAAGUAAAAGUAAUUCUUGUUAAAUUUUAAAAAUGGUUAAGAAUAAUAUUAGUAUUAUAAAAUUUUCAAGGGAAAUUUUCAUGUUAUAUAAAAUUAUAAUAAUAAUAAUAAUUUUUUUAUGAGAAACAAUUUUUAAAAAAUUUUAUAUUAAAAAAUUUUCAAAUAAAAAAGUCUUUUAAUAAAACUAUUCAAAAGCAACCAUAAAAAUUCUAAUUAAGAUUAAUGAAUUUAAUCAAAUUUAUUUUUAACAUAAAUGAAAAGAUCCCUAUAUUUGGAGCAAGAUUUUUGAAAGAAAAAAAUAUCAAAUUGAUAUUUAGUUUCAAGAAAAUCCUAAGGAAAAGAAAAAAAAAUACUUAAAAUCAAAAUCUUAUGUUUGGUUUCUGGAAAAAAAAAAUACUCAAGAAAAUUAAAUAUAACGAAUUCAAAAUUUUUGCAUUUUAAAAUCAUUUAAUUUUUACGUAAAAAGGUAAAAAAAAUUAUAAAUUAUAAAUAUUUUUUCCAUCAUAUUUUUAGUGGUUAUUUUAUUUCUCUCAAAAUUUUUCAAAAAAACCAAACAUUUCUUGCUUUUGAGAUUUGUUGUGGAGUAAGAUCAAAUGGGUCAUGGGGCCAAUCCCAUAACGGCCUGCGACUACAACUAUAACUAAAUGUGUCUUACUGAGUAGGGUGACUACUUACCAUUGACCAAAAGUGGGUUGAUCGAGACCCAUCAAAUCUUAAGGUGGUCUGGAAUGUUGUGGCUAAUAUGAACUAUCAAGGAUUAUGACUCCUACACAUUCCACAUCCUCAGCUGAGUGUGUCUCCCUUUGUGCCACGUACUUCAUUUCAGACCAUUUGGUGGUACCCAAAUCCACCACAUAUCCCCAUGGCGGGGGGUGGGGCAGGGUUGUGGUGUGGAUGAGAGUGCAUGAUUUGUAUAUCUAUAAAGUUUCACUUUUAUAGGUGGUUUUCAAUGUGUCAAUUGUAAGAUUAUUCUUUGUUUUAAUAAUUGAAUAUUAGUAUUGAUCAAAGGACUUGCAAAAGAAAUGAAAAUUAAAUUUUUUGGUCAUAAAAAGAGGACUUACCUAUAACCCUCAUAGUUUUAAAGGGUAAAAGGCACACUUAAGGUGCAAAAGUCUCCUACAUCUUAGACGCAAGGCAAAACAUAAGGCACAUGCAUAAGUAAAGUGAAAUUGAACUAAGAGACGUAUCGAUUUUAUAAGAUAUAAUCCAAAAUUUAAUUCAAUUAAUGAAAAAUUUAAGAUUCCAAACAUUUAAAAGAAGCAUUAAACAAAAAUUCAUAAAAUUAUAUAAAUUUUAAUAUACAAUUAAAAAUUUCAAGAAUAAAAGUAUUUAAAAAGAAAAAUAAGUUAAAUGAGAUGCUCCUUUUGAACAGGGUAUCUUGGCAAGCAAGAUGCUAUAACUAUGGAGUGGUUACGCCUUGGGUACACCUUCUAAAAUUAUGAGCUUUCUUGAGGUAGUUUUGUGAUCUAAGAUCCAAAUUUUAAUUAGUGUUAGUGUAGCUUAAAUUUUUUCAAUCCCUGGUUGAUCUUAAUUAAUGGAAUCACAAUGAGUGAGAUCUUCUAUUAAUAAUCCUUCAUACUUUGAUAAAAACAAUUAUCCCUAUUGGAAAGUUUGAAUAGAAUUCUUCCUAGAGAUGCAAAGAGGAUGAAUUUAUAAUGUAAAUUUGAUUGGGGACUUCCAUUAAAGUUUGAAUAGAACUAGUAAAUUCAUUAGAGAAUUAAAGCCCAAACAUGAAUAUGACAAACUUGAUAAUAAAGACAAUGAGGUAAACACUAGUGCUUUCACCAACAUUUAAUGGUAUGAGUCCUAAUGAGUUUCAUAGGAUAACAAUAUCUAAGCAUACUAAAGAGCCUUGAGAUAUUCUUUCUAUUACUCACGAGGGUACUUCUGUUGUGAAGUUGUCUAAAAUACAAAUGUUUGAUGUAAUUUAUAAUUCAUAUUGCUCGAAGUGAAAAAGGUUACUUUGGUCAAAUCUAUAUUGUAUGUAUUUAAACCAAAAAGGGAAGUAAUCAAUUGCAAAUUGGAAAAACUCCAAUGUGGAAGAGACUACUUAGUACGUGAAAGGUAAUUUUCUAUAUUUAAGGAUAACACCUUCACGUUUACAAUUGGUUCUUGUUGAGAUUUAUGAUCAUUUGAUAAAAAUAACAAUAAAUUCAAAGGGGGAGUUUAAGUAUUGUGUUUAAACAAUCAAAGAGUUUCAUGUUAAAUAGAAGUCAAAUAGAAUGAGAAUGAUUUUGAUUUUGAUCAUGAUAUGACUUAAUGGAUAACCUAGAUGAGUAAUAUGGAUUAUAUUGAUCAAAGAGAAAAUUGAUCACCUUAUUAUUGAUCACUAUUGUUUGAUGUUAUGGUUGUUAUAUCUUAUGUACUCUUGAAAUGUCCCUAAGUCUAAAUAUCAAUUAUUUUUCUUUUUUAGAUCAUUUCUCUGAAAGAUUUAUGAGUUAAUUUUUUGUGUUUACUCGAAUAAUUUAUGAAUUUCAUAAUUUGUUAAGUACCGAUAACAUAAAGAGAGCAGCCUGCAUAUGAGUUCAUCAUUUUCUUGCUUAGAUUCCCUUUUUUAGAUGAAUUUCAAGGGAUUUUACAUUAAGAGAGACAUAUUUUACGUUUGAAGGAUAACUUAAGUAUCUGAGAAGCUAAAAGAACACUUGAUGAUAACUUAGGAAUAGAAGGAACUACUUGAGUGCCCUUCCCAUGCUAGGAGCAUUCAAGCACUCCAUGGAAUGCUUCCAACACACACACACACUAUUUCUUACGAUUUAUUCUUAGUUUCACUUCACUUUCUCAUAUUCUUAUGUGUUCUCAAGGUUAUGUUGGUCCUUCCUACAUUGUCUCUUUGCUCUAAUAUGGAUUUUUGACCCAAUUAAUUGCAUAUUUGUCUUUGUAAGAUUGUUCCUAUGGAUUUCCUAGUCAUUUUCAACAUUUAGUUUCCUAUGUUUGUACCCAUAAAUUCUAGUUUAUUUGUUUCAGUAGAGAUGUCAUCUAGGUGCACUAGGCAAUGCGUUUCUUCACUUCCUCUUUCUACGCCUAGAUUUGGUCUUUAUUCUCCGAUUCAAGGUCCAUUUAACUUGGAUGACCUUUUAGAUAAGUGCUUCAUAUUUGAGUAGCACAUGGAGAUUUACUAUUCCCAAUUUCAUAAGCUUAGAGUAGAGCCUGAGUGUGAGCUCUUCCAUGCAUCUUUAGGAAGUGCCAUUGAGAGCCCAUGAAUUGCUUGAUUGGGUUGUCUACCUACAUUAUGCAUGAAUAUGGGAUUACUAUACCACCGACAUUUAGGUCAAUUAGAAAAACCUUGGGUCUUCAUCAUUUUUUUGAGUGAUUGCUUACUUUUCCCUUAAAAUCCCUUUGGUGACCACUUUUUAAAGCUCCUAGAGAUUCUUAUGGGAUUAUUUAGUGCUAACUCUACCAAAACAACCUAGAUUCUUACUAUGUUUGUGAAUUAUAUCUUCUAUCCCACCUCUCAUAGGACCCAAAUCCUAUAGCAACUACAUGAUUCAUUCACUAUGUUUUAUUUGGUCAUCCUAUUAACAUUGCUCAAGUUAUAUUUAACAUUAUGUGCUCCUACAAAAACUCCUCUCAUUCAAGGAGUACUCCAUUUACCAUCAUAAUCUCUUGCAUCUUGGUAGAAGUCGAUGAUCUCUCACAUCUUAGUAGAAGUUGAUGAUCUCUUGCAUCUUGGUGGAGGUUGGAUUCAACUUCUAGCAUGAUUUACAGGUGUUUAGAUCAAACAACUCCUAUUAAUGAGAGCACAUGGUCUAAGCAUGUUAGUUAUACGCAUGAAUACCUAAUGGGACAUCUAACUUAUGUUAAGGAGGCAAAGAUUCAAGGGAUGGAGCAAGGUAGUGGAGAGAGGAGUGGUCCGAGGACUUGAGGCAAGGUAGUAG
rnacentral:lncRNA from 1 species